GUUGUAAAACGACGUUAUGCAUGAAUGUAAUGCUCAUAACUUCCCUCUAGAUUUAGCUGCCGUCGAGUCUCCAUCUAUAAAUGGAUAAUAUUUAGGUCUUAAAGUAUACUAGUUUUUGAAAGUAAAAGAGCAAUAUCAGCAGAGUUGAUAUUGCUCUUUUACUUUUCAGAGUCUUUUUUUAUACAUAAAUUGUGGAUUUAUUAUAAUAUUCUUUAAUAUUCUUUCUUUUAACAUAAGAUAUAAAAAAAUUGGAAUUUCUUAUUUUUCUUUCGUAUUUCGGAAUGUAAAAAAACGAAUCUUUCCCCGCCCCCCUUUUUUUAUUAGAAGACGAGUAAAAACUUAGAAAAAAAAGAAUGUGAACGAAACAGUCCAAAUUGAAGUCUCAGUAAUUUUCACAUAAGAUAAGAUAGGGGCGGAUGUAGCCAAGUGGAUCAAGGCAGUGGAUUGUGAAUCCACCAUGCGCGCCUGUGUGAAAUUG
rnacentral:misc_RNA from 1 species